CGACAACAGCAGCGACAGCAGCAGCAACAGCGGCAGCAUCAACAGCAACAAGCUAACUAUAGCGAGAACACGCAGAGAAUCCAGCAGAUCCCCGCACAGGAAGAGCGGCUGGUAACAGCGGCUCCACAGUUCGCGUCUUCGCCUUACCUGUCCAGCUCCAGCGGCCUCCAGACGCGGCCACCUGUCGCCGUCGCCCAGGCACAAACCCGGACCCCCCAGCCGUAUCACCAGGCCGCAGCACAGCACGCCACAGCCGAGGCGCCGCACCAUUCAGUCAGGGAGCCGCCCGCCUACCCCCACCACGAGUACCAGCACCAACAGCCGGCCCUGGGUCCACAGCAUCAGUCGCCGGUGAGCACCAUCCUCACAGCUCCUGCUCAUGCCGCUGCCUACAGCCCAGCAGUCAGCUCCGUCACCACAGCACCUGUUCACCCCGCGCACACCUACC